GAUGAACGCUGGCGGCGUGCCUAAUACAUGCAAGUCGAGCGAACGGACGAGAAGCUUGCUUCUCUGAUGUUAGCGGCGGACGGGUGAGUAACACGUGGAUAACCUACCUAUAAGACUGGGAUAACUUCGGGAAACCGUAGCUAAUACCGGAUAAUAUCUUGAACCGCAUGGUUCAAAAGUGAAAGACGGUCUUGCUGUCACUUAUAGAUGGAUCCGCGCUGCAUUAGCUAGUUGGUAAGGUAACGGCUUACCAAGGCAACGAUGCAUAGCCGACCUGAGAGGGUGAUCGGCCACACUGGAACUGAGACACGGUCCAGACUCCUACGGGAGGCGGCAGUAGGGAAUCUUCCGCAAUGGGCGAAAGCCUGACGGAGCAACGCCGCGUGAGUGAUGAAGGUCUUCGGAUCGUAAAACUCUGUUAUUAGGGAAGAACAUAUGUGUAAGUAACUGUGCACAUCUUGACGGUACCUAAUCAGAAAGCCACGGCUAACUACGUG
rnacentral:rRNA from 1 species